rnacentral:lncRNA from 1 species
UGGGUGCAGGGGAAGGUGUGGAGAUGGACGCUAGGGAUGAGGAGUGGACAGACACAGUGGUGGCUGUGGCAGCAGCCAUCUGAGUGGCCCACGGGGCAAAGGCACAGGAGAGAGGGCUGCUGCUGGCCGUCCACUUGCACACCGUCCUCUUCCCUCCAUGUGGAAGGGGCUCAGAGGUCCCGGGGGCACUGGCCUCUUGCUCUGUGACUUAGGAUGGCUCUUUGCCUUAACAGGUGGAGGUGGCCCCAUGAGGGCACCUUGCCGCAGUCUAAGUGCUGGCGCACCUCAAGGACAGGAGCAGCCCUGAUAGAGGCAAACAGCAGGUGCAUAAAAAGUGUUGGUGAGCUAAUGAGUGGAUCUAUGGCUCGGCUUUGGUUUGCAUCUUCACAGGUCUCGCUUUGCUGGGUAGGAGGCCCCUCCUGGACCUAGGACGCAGAGUCGGGUCAGGAACCCUCAGGCCACAGCUGCCGUCUGGUGCCCAGGGUCAUGCCAACCUGAGAUUUUAAGAGUGAGGGGAUGUAAGGCAGUCCACCUUCUCUGUCUACCCUGGGCUACACUAGCCAUCAAAGUUGGCUCUCCUGGCUUCAGGAAAACUCACGGUUCCCAUGCAGCUGCCAGCCCGCCAGGUCUUGGAAGCAUUCAGGGUAGUGUUAGGUCCCUGGUCCCCUUUCUUCACGUCCUUCACCAUUUGGAGCUGCUGUUCAGAGUGGCUGAGGAGAAAGCUUGGAAGAGGAACCCUCCCGGCAGGAGCCACACAGAACCCCGUCCUGGGACCCCUACCUGCUGGCCUGCCUGUGGAGGGGACAGCUGGCGCUCUGCCCACAGGUCAGCCAAGUCAGCAGCAGGGCUCUCCUCUGGCCUGUGGUGGAAGCCCCUGGGGUCUUGGUGCUCCCUGGAGGUGGAUGAGGGGGCAGCCACAGGGUGGAGGAGCCUGAGGGUGAGGGUCCCCUUGGUCUGGAGAAUCAGCAGUGACCAGUAGGAGCCAAUGGAAGGAGGCUCCAGCCUGCAGAGUUGAAAUUCUGAGAAGAUUUGGGAAGAAAAAAGUACAAAACAGAGAGGGUUGGUCUUUCCAACCAGGGGACAUGUUUCCCUUGUCACUGUCAAGUUAGAUCCCACAGCGCAGGAGGGUUGGGGCCCGAGAAGCUCUAGGCAGAGCUGGAGGUGGGCGGGCAGCUGCAGGUGAAGCCCAGCCUGGCUCGCCACACCCCAGCACAGUCUGGAAGGAGCAGAGGGAAGGAGCUAGCAAGGGGACUGUGGGGCCACGCAGUGUGGACCCCCACAGGUGUGUGGGACGGGCCGUGGGCCUCGGGACUGGCUUGGGGAGGGCGGAGGAGGGGACCACACAGCCUGGGAGCUGCCGUGCAGUGGAGCACCCAGCACGGGCUCCGUGUGGCCAGGCUGGGGGGCUCCUUCCUGCCCCCUGCAGGGGCCUGUGGUGGAGUCAGCUCUCGGGCCAGCAGCCGCCCAGUGCCCUCCUGGGGGCCAGGGUGCACAGCACUGGCCUUCUUAAAAAGCUCCCUGGCAGGCCCGGGUUGUGCACUGGGUUUGACCCCAACACCACAUAAAAAUAAACAAAUGAAAUAAAGGUAUGGUGUCCAUCUACAGCAACAAGAAACAAGAUAAAAGCUCCCUGGCCGACGACAGGCAGACCCCCGACAGAACAGCACGAGCGCUGGCCGGCCCGGGGCAGCGUGGGGGUGUAGCUGAAGAGGACAGUGCUGGAGCAGGAGGCCUGGGGUCAUCUGGGCAGCUGAGAAGAGUGGGAAGUACGGGAUCUCAGUCCGAUCUGCUGACCAGCGAGUUUCCCUGGACUCGGGGCCACCCCCAGGCGGAAGCCAGAGAGGAAGGAUGACCAGCGUGUGUGCCUAGGGGAGGUGGAGGGGACUUGCCAGGGACUGGGGGGAGCUGGGCGGAGACACCAGCGGCUCCUGGGCUGGGCUGUCUUCAUCCCUAAGGAGGCCUGGCUGGGGAGCCUGGGGACCAAGACCCAGCUAGCUCCAGGAGCCAUGGGUGUGCUUCACCCACAGGGGGAUGCGUGGCAGUGCGUGGCCCCGGGGGCGCCUUUAAAUCUUUAAAUACAAGAUUGUAUGGUGCAGCUUGUGAUCCCAGCAGCUCAGGACGCUGAGGCAGGAGGAUUUCAACUUCAAGCCAGCCUCAGCAAUGUAGCAAUACCCAAAGCAACUCAGUGAGACCCUGUCUCAAAAUUUAAAAAAUUAAAAUUUUAAUGGGCUGGGAUUGUGGCUCAGAGGUAGAGCGCUUGCUUAGCACGGGCGGGACCCGGUUCGAUUCUCAGCACCACAUAAAGAAAAUAAAG